rnacentral:tRNA from 1 species
GCGUGAAUAGCUCAGACAGGACAGAGCACCUGCCUUCCAAGCAGGGGGUCGAGGGUUCGAAUCCCUCUUUGCGCUCAA